GACAGAGGGUGCAAGCGUUGUUCGGAAUUACUGGGCGUAAAGCGCGUGUAGGCUGCUCUGCAAGUCGGAUGUGAAAGCCCUGGGCUCAACCUAGGAAGUGCACUCGAAACUGCAGAGCUUGAGUCUCGGAGAGGAUCGCGGAAUUCUCGGUGUAGAGGUGAAAUUCGUAGAUAUCGAGAGGAACACCGGUGGCGAAGGCGGCGAUCUGGAUCCCUACUGACGCUGAGGCACGAAAGCCAGGGGAGCAAACGGG
rnacentral:rRNA from 1 species